rnacentral:rRNA from 1 species
UGGGGAAUAUUGCACAAUGGGCGCAAGCCUGAUGCAGCCAUGCCGCGUGUAUGAAGAAGGCCUUCGGGUUGUAAAGUACUUUCAGUCGGGAGGAAGGUGUCAAGGUUAAUAACCUUGGCAAUUGACGUUACCGACAGAAGAAGCACCGGCUAACUCCGUGCCAGCAGCCGCGGUAAUACGGAGGGUGCAAGCGUUAAUCGGAAUUACUGGGCGUAAAGCGCACGCAGGCGGUUGAUUGAGUCAGAUGUGAAAUCCCCGGGCUUAACCCGGGAAUUGCAGCUGAUAGUGGGCAGCGAGAGUCUUGGAGAGGGGGGUAGAAUUCCAUGUGUAGCGGUGAAAGGCGUAGAGAGGUGGAGGAAUACCGGGGGCGAAGGCGGCGACCUGGACAAAGACGGACGCGCAGGGGCGAAAGAGUGGGGAGCAAACAGG